UUUGAAACCAGCCUGGGGGCUGCAAGUGGUCCCCGGGCCAGACUUUGGACAAGCCUGACUUUAGGAACAACCUCAACCUAUUCUCAAGCUUUAAAUGGGUAAGAAGCCCAUGGGAAUGGGAUGCAAGCUGCCUAGUGGGUCAGUUUUGGUAAGCAGAUGUCACGCUGCAGGGUGAAGCCGAUGCCGGGUAAAGGUGUCUGAUUUUGAUGCUCAUCAGUCCCCAGAAAAGGUGUCAGUUUAUGUAGACAGAGGGGAUGACGGCCAUGGAAUCUGGAAUCCUCUAAGGAAUGUGUAACAGCUCACCAGUUGAAUGAACUAGCCCUGAAAAUGGAUGCCAUUGGAGUGCUGAGCCCAUACCUGGCCAUUGCUUGCAAUGCCGGCCACUAGAGCUAUGCUGCAAUGUGCAGGA